AGGUCCAGCCUGCCCAGUGACAAAUUCAACGGCCGCGGUAUCCUAACCGUGCGAAGGUAGCAUAAUCACUUGUUCUUUAAAUGGGGACUAGUAUCAACGGCAUCACGAGGGUUGCACUGUCUCCUUUUUCUAAUCAGUGAAACUGAUCUCCCCGUGAAGAAGCGGAGAUACAACAAUAAGACGAGAAGACCCCAUGGAGCUUUAAAUUUUACAGCAACUCUACCACACAUUUCCCCACAAUCACAGAAAUAUGCAUGUAGAUUUUAGGUUGGGGCGACCGCGGAGUAAAAAUUAUCCUCCACGACGAAAAGAGCUAAACCCUUAUCCUAGAGACACCCCUCCAAGAAUUAGUACACUAACGAACUAUGACCCGAUAAUCGAUUAACGGACCAAGUUACCCUGGGGAUAACAGCGCAAUCUGCUUCGAGAGCCCAUAUCGACAAGUAGGCUUACGACCUCGAUGUUGGAUCAGGGUACCCAAGUGGUGCAGCCGCUACUAAUGGUUCGUUUGUUCAACGAU
rnacentral:rRNA from 1 species